GAAAUAAAUUAUUGCCAAAAAAUAUCAUGAUUUAUUAAAACAGAAAGUAUGAAAAAUGGAUUUGGAUUUCUUCUUUUGAUAUCUGUUCACAGUACUCAGACUUGGGGUGGAGACCUGUAUUCUCCAGAAGACAAGUUGACACUUCUUGACAUAAACAGUUUUAAGGAAACUGUAUUGGGUUCUUCAACUGCCUGGUUGGUUGAAUUCUAUUCUAGUUGGUGCGGACACUGUCAACAUUUUGCUCCAACGUAUAAACAACUUGGAGCUGAAGUAUAUGGCUGGAAGAAUAUAAUUCGUGUGGCUGCUAUAGAUUGUGCCAAUGAUAUUAAUACUCCUAUUUGCAGGGAAUAUGAUAUAAUGGGAUAUCCGUCUUUGAGACUUUUCCCUCCAAAGGCAUCUCCAGAUUUUAAGGGAAAAGAUUGUAAGCGUGGAUCACUGAGUAUUGAAAGUAUCAAGGGAGAAAUGCUGAAUUAUCUAAGAGAUGUUGAGACAAACCAAACACAUUAUCUUGACAUCUGGCCAAAUAUCAAACCUUUCAGUGGUACAAGGUUAGAGGAUCUCUGGAUGGAUUCAACUAAAUUUUACAUUCUACUUUUAGUGGAGGAGCAAGGAUCAAGUAUUGCAAGCGAAGUUAUUCUGGAUUUAGAUUCUUCAAUUAGGAAGUUAAAUAUACCACUACAGCUACGUAGAGCUAUUAAAUCACCGACUUCUGGGCCAUGGGUUAAUGAACUUUCGGGGCCAAAUAUCCUUGUACUGGACAAAGAGAUGUCCUUCAAGCACGAGCUUUCAGUGUCCGAGGUGAAUAAAGAAAGUUGGUCUGCUGCAAUUAAAGAUUAUAUUUGGUCAAAAUCUAAGGAGUUUGCACUCACGGACAAGGUGGAAGAUGGAGCUAAACCCUCACCCCUCGAUUCUUCUCAAAAUCUUGAAAAGAAAGAGAAAACCACAAAUACCAAAAAAGAGCUGAUUAAUAGACGGUAUAAGGUGUUCUUAUCAGAUCUGGAGAAAGCUAUGUUUUAUUCAUUAUCACAUGAGGUGGCACAGCAUUCUGCUGUAGCAGGGGAAGCAUUGGUGGCUCUUCAAAAAUAUAUUACAGUCCUAGAUAAAUACUUCCCUGCCCGUCCUCAGAUAGGAAUAUUUCUAAAGAAACUUCAUGCUUGGAUCCAUCAGCAUGAAGAUGCAGUCAGAGGAGAGGAUCUAGCAGACUGGAUUACUCUCUACUCCUCCCAUCAUAAGAUCCAACCAAAUCAACAAUGGAUUGGAUGCAAGGGAAGCAAAGCUUCCUACGGCGGGUAUCCUUGUGGACUGUGGUCACUGUGGCACACACUAACCGUAGCUCAGGAGAAAUCGGAAUCUGGGGAACCACAGGAAGUGCUCAGAGCUAUGCAGGGAUUUAUUCAACAGUUCUUUGGUUGCCAGGAUUGUGCCCGACAUUUUGAUCAAACAAUUCGGAAGGGGGUUGGGAUCGAUGAGAAUGUAAAGACAAGAAAAGACGCUGUUUUGUACCUAUGGAAUAUUCACAAUAGGGUAAACACCCGUUUAGCUGGUGAUAUAUCUGAGGACCCAGUUUAUCCUAAACUAGUUUUUCCAGUUAAACAAUUCUGCACCAGCUGUUAUUCUAAUGUUAGAGGUUCCAAUCUCUGGGAUGAGUUUGAACUGGAUGAGGUGUUCAAUUUCCUUAAGAACCAGUACUCUGCCACCAAACUCAGUAAGCAGGGCAUCAUUGAGAGCCAGGUGGCUGAACCAGUAGUUCCGGAACCACAGGUUCAAGACACAAACGAGAACCUGGACCUUGACAAUUAUAGGAAGAAAACACAGGUCAAUUUCAUAUUUUUCAACGGUUUGGAUAUAUCCUUCUGUGCUCUUCUUUGGAUCAGCUCGGUAGUCCUCAUUAUUCUCUUGUAUCUCAAGUUUGUUCUGAAGAAAAGAUUUUCUCAUUCUGCCGUCAUAGGACUCCUUCGACGGAAGACGACGUACAAUCCUUUAGUUGGGAAAGUGUAACGGCAAUGCAACGAAAAUGCGGGAAACUAACGAUAAUAUACUCAAUUUUUUAAUGCAGGUUCAUUUAAAAUAACCUCAAUUACCCUCAGGAUAUUCAGAAUUCUUGCCUGUUAUUUUUUUAAAAUUUUCAUACUUCAAAAAAAUAAGGUUUAUCCUAAGAAAUCUUCAUGCUGAAUGUUCUCCUUGUCUUGUCUCCUUUUUAUGAAUUUACUUGAAGUUUUUUUAUAUUUUUACAACAUGAUAAAUCAUCUCUAAUUGGGAGAUCAUGGAUCCUGAGAAGUAAUGCACAUGCCUUACUUUGACCUCAUUGUAUUUAAAGACUGCUUGGGAGCUUGAACUAAACAAACAAUUUAAUCUUAUGACAAGUUAUUUUUAGUUAUUACAACAUAAAUGCGACGUUAAAAUGUAGAAUUGAUGAAGAAUAUCUGUGAUUUAUUAUGCUUAUAUGAUUAAAUGUAAAUACUAUGCAACCAAAUAUAAUUGAAAAUGUUCA